rnacentral:rRNA from 1 species
UACGUAGGGGGCAAGCGUUAUCCGGAUUUACUGGGUGUAAAGGGAGCGCAGGCGGCGCGGCAAGUCUGAUGUGAAAGCCCGGGGCUCAACCCCGGGACUGCAUUGGAAACUGUCGCGCUCGAGUGCCGGAGGGGCAGGCGGAAUUCCUAGUGUAGCGGUGAAAUGCGUAGAUAUUAGGAGGAACACCAGUGGCGAAGGCGGCCUGCUGGACGGUGUACUGACGCUGAGGCUCGAAAGCGUGGGGAGCAAACAGG